UGGGGAAUAUUGGGCAAUGGGGGCAACCCUGACCCAGCGACGCCGCGGGAGGGAAGACGGCCUUCGGGUUGUAAACCUCCUUUGUACGGGAAGAAGGAUGUGACGGUACCGUGCGAAUAAGUCCCGGCUAACUACGUGCCAGCAGCCGCGGUAAUACGUAGGGGACGAGCGUUGUCCGGAAUUACUGGGCGUAAAGGGCGCGCAGGCUGUAGAUCAAGUCAGCUGUGAAAUGUCUGGGCUUAACCCGGGCAUGCGGUUGAAACUGAUGUACUGGAGUGCUGUAGAGGCAAGUGGAAUUCCCAGUGUAGCGGUGAAAUGCGUAGAUAUUGGGAAGAACACCGGUGGCGAAGGCGACUUGCUGGGCAGCAACUGACGCUGAGGCGCGAAAGCCAGGGGAGCAAACGG
rnacentral:rRNA from 1 species